rnacentral:lncRNA from 1 species
CCCUAGAACACUUUUUAUAAAAUCUUAGUAAAUAUAUUUAAUGAUUCCCACAUUAUCCUCCAAUUUAUUUCUAAUUUUCCCAAAUGGAAAAGAAACCACUUAAAGACUACUCCUGCAGUCUGAGUUCUGGCUAGAGUCGACUCCAGAUAGUCAAAGAGAAUAAGAUUCUCUUCAAAAGGUUUGUCUCAUCUCCCAUGAAUUCUAUUAGUUUUUCUGGUUUUGAGGCAAGACUCAGUGACUUCUAACUUAGGAGAUCAAUCUUUCUCUUUCUUUCUGCCCAUAAAAGAUGGUACAAUAUGGGCUACUUUCCAGGCAUGGAGUAUGAUAGCUACAUUAAAAAAAAAAAGAAAGAUAAAUUACACGAUUUUGGUAUAGCCUCAGCU